rnacentral:rRNA from 1 species
CCAUGCAAGUCGAACGGGGAGGGAGCAACCCCUUGAGAGUGGCGAACGGGUGAGUAAUAUAUCGGAACGUGCCCAGUCGUGGGGGAUAACGUAGCGAAAGUUACGCUAAUACCGCAUACGAUCUACGGAUGAAAGCGGGGGAUCGCAAGACCUCGCGCGACUGGAGCGGCCGAUAUCAGAUUAGGUAGUUGGUGGGGUAAAGGCUCACCAAGCCAACGAUCUGUAGCUGGUCUGAGAGGACGACCAGCCACACUGGAACUGAGACACGGUCCAGACUCCUACGGGAGGCAGCAGUGGGGAAUUUUGGACAAUGGACGCAAGUCUGAUCCAGCCAUUCCGCGUGCAGGAUGAAGGCCCUCGGGUUGUAAACUGCUUUUGUACGGAACGAAAAGGUCUCUCCUAAUACGAGAGGCUCAUGACGGUACCGUAAGAAUAAGCACCGGCUAACUACGUGCCAGCAGCCGCGGUAAUACGUAGGGUGCAAGCGUUAAUCGGAAUUACUGGGCGUAAAGCGUGCGCAGGCGGUUAUAUAAGACAGAUGUGAAAUCCCCGGGCUCAACCUGGGAACUGCAUUUGUGACUGUAUAGCUAGAGUACGGUAGAGGGGGAUGGAAUUCCGCGUGUAGCAGUGAAAUGCGUAGAUAUGCGGAGGAACACCGAUGGCGAAGGCAAUCCCCUGGACCUGUACUGACGCUCAUGCACGAAAGCGUGGGGAGCAAACAGGAUUAGAUACCCUGGUAGUCCACGCCCUAAACGAUGUCAACUGGUUGUUGGGUCUUAACUGACUCAGUAACGAAGCUAACGCCUGAAGUUGACCGCCUGGGGAGUACG